rnacentral:rRNA from 1 species
AUGGAAGGAAGCAUCAGCGGUCCGUCAGAGAAAAGGGUUGCCGUGGUGACCGGAGGGAACCGGGGGAUGGGGCUGGAGAUAUGCCGGCAGCUUGCGGGGCACGGGCUCGCCGUCGUCUUGACGGCGAGGGACGACAAGAGGGGCGCUGAGGCAGCCGAAACGCUCCGGGAGGAGGGGCUAUCGGACGUCGCGUUUCAUCAGCUGGAGAUCAGCGAGCCCGCCAGUGCCGCUCGUCUGGCUGCUUUCGUAAAGAAGAAGUUCGGCAAGCUUGACAUACUGGUCAACAAUGCCGGAGUGCUCGGGGUGACCACGGACGUCGGCGACCCGGCGACCCUUCAGGAAACGCUUGCAGGCAAGGAUGGGAUGGAGAGAGCCGAAUGGCUGAGGCAACGGACCACACAGACCACCCAGGAUGCAGAGGACUGCCUGAGGAUCAACUACCACGGCAACAAGACCGUCACGGAAGCCCUCCUCCCGCUCCUCCGAUCAUCCUCCGACGGCAGAAUCGUCAACGUAACCUCAGCCUGGGGGCUGCUCAGGUAUUUCAGCGGCGACGAGCUCCGGCGGGAGCUGGACGACGUCGCAAACCUCACGACGCAGCGGCUCGACGAGAUGUCAGACCUGUUCCUCGAGGACCUGGGCAAGGGCAAUGGCGCGCUGGAGCGCCGCGGGUGGCCGGCCGACCCGGUCUACGCGGCCUACAUGGCCUCCAAGGCGCUGGUGUGCGCCUACACCAGGGUGAUCGCCAGGGAGGAGGGCGCCGCGCUGCGGGUCAACUGCGUGCACCCCGGCUACGUCCUCACCGGGAUGAACGACUACACCGGCGUCCUCACGGCCGCGGAGGGCGCCGCCGCCGCGGUUGCAGUUGCACUGGCGGAGAAGGGGGGCGUCACCGGCGCCUACUUCGACCGCACUGAACUCGGAGCGUCCUUUGUGUGA